CGGGUGAAAGGCGGCCGGGCUCAGCCAGCCCCCCAACCCCCACCACCACCCCCCUGCGCCCACUCCGGGGUCCCCCUGUUUUCCCAGCAUGCACUGCCCGGGGCGGCCCGGACUGCUCCCGGGUGUCUGCAGGCUUGGGGAAGCGGCAGGGGCUCCGCCAGCGGUCGUGUCCUGCAGGCCUGCCAGCCAAGUCACGCCAGGGAAGGAAGGGUUCGCCGGUGGGGCCCGUGGUCGUCACCCAGCGUGUGGCUCAGUCCUGGGGACGCCCACAGGGCGCAGCCCAGGCUUCUCCCCGGCCUGCCGGCCCUGCGCCCUCUAACCCUGGCCCUGUCCUGCCGUCCCACCCCUGCGCCCUCUAACCCUGGCCCUGUCCUGCCAUCCCCACCCCUGCGCCCUCUAACCCUGGCCCUGUCCUGCCGUCCCACCCCUGCGCCCUCUAACCCUGGCCCUGUCCUGCCGUCCCACCCCUGCCGCCCCAGCCACACCUUGCCUCAAACACACCAGCACUUUCCCACCUCAGAGCCCUGCCUGAGGGGACACCUGCCCCUCCCGGAACUAGGCCAGGUCUGCACCGGAUGCCAUCUGCCCCCCAGGGUCCCGAUCCGGCCAGCACCCCAACUCUGGGUGCCGCCCCCCUGUGUUAUCUCCUUCAUGGCGUGCUCAACGCUGCGAUCGUUGUCUCUCUUUGGCCAGCUGUGAGCUCCAGGGAAACGGGCGCUUGCCCAUCUGGCCCACGCUACACCUCCAGCCCCUGCUCCGUGCUCCACAGUGCUUUGACACCCUGGGACUUUGCUGGUCCUGGAAGGACUGCCCUGCCCAGGGUUCCCUGGUUCCUAGACAGGCUCUUGAGGGCACCACCCUCCGUGUGUCUCCUGGAUUUGCUGAUUGCAUGAGCUGUGACCACGACCGUAGACAUGGUGACUUCACUCACUGAUGCGUGGUAGAUUUUACUAAUAAACAACAGGGGAGAAUCUCUGAUUGCUGUCGGACCCAGAGCAUCUACCCAAGGAGAAAUGGCCAGAUCUUGACAGCCUGGAGCAGGCCCUGGAGAUGAAGCCAAGACGUAGAAAACCCAUAACGCUGCAGAGAGCAAGCCCAGAUGAAGAGGGCUAAGGGGACCGAGUGGUUCAUAUUGGAGAGGAGACUAUCACAGUAGAAUAAUCACAUUUAUUAUUUGGGUGACUUUCCAGGUGAUAGUUUCUCCAGUGAGGACGCAGGACUUGCCUGUGUCCAAAGAGGAUAGGCUUGACAACUUUAUGCAAUCUCAGCUCCAAAGAUAGGUUCAGCAAAGAUAGGUUCAGUAAAGAUUAGACACGUUGAAGAGGAACCAUAGACUGAGUCCAAGCCUGGUUCAGGAGUUGGUGUAAUGGGUGAAUGUUUCCAUGGGAAGAAAGUCCAAUUGCAGUUGGAAAGUUGGACGGGACUCAUUUUAUAAUAACAGUGAAUGCUAGUGGCAGACCCUGAAUGCGUUGAUUUCAUGUAUCUCACUAUGAGACUUCACAAAGACAAAAUCUAAAAUAUUAUGGAAGGAGAAUGGACGGCAGGGUCAGAAAGCAGAGGGAGCAGCCCUGCAGGACCAGCAGACAGUGCUUUGCCUCCCGUGUGGCAGAAAGGGACACAGACCAGGCUUGACACACCAGUUCCACCAGGGGCCAGCAAACUACAGCCCAUGAGCCAAGUCCAGUCCUCAGCCACUUUUUGCAUGACCCACAAACUAAGAAUGGUUUUCAUAUUUUUAAAUGGUUGAAAAAAUUCCAAAGGAGACUAUUUCAUGUCAUGUAAAAAUUACACGGAGUUCAAAUUCAUUAAUAAAGUUUUAUUGGAACCCAACCACACACAUUCAUUUAUGUAUUGUUUAUGGCUGUUUUCACGUAACAGCUGUGGAGUUGAAUGGUUAUGACAAAAACUGUACGCCCUCCAAGGCCUAAAGUAUUUGCUGCCUGAUACUUUACACAAAAAGCUUGCCAACCCCCUGAAUUAAACCAUUAAAACUCCAACUGAGCCUUCCCUAGGGGGAGACUAACAAAGAGAAAUGCAAAAUGAGUUCAGGGGUUCUUAACCUAGCUCCAGGGACUUCCCGAAGUGUCUAUGGAUAGGAUUCAAGGGUGUCUAUGAACUUGGGUCAGGAAGAAAAAAUACGUCUUUAUUUUCACUAACUUCUAACUUACACGUUGUAUUUCGGUAUCAGUGGAUUAGCAGUCCCUAUGACUUGGUCACCAACAGAUAUCAGAUAUUUUUAUAAUUCAUCUCAAAAUACUGUUUACACUCAAAGUUAUGGUGGUCAACUUGCUAUCUGAUUGUGUUAUUCAAGGCAUGGAUAACACAAUAACACAAGGAGCACAAAUAUUACUAUAUCACAAAUUUGUUUUUAUAAGAUGUUAAUGAUGUUUUGCCAUCAUUGGCUUUCUCUGUAAGCUUCUGUGUGGAAGCCAAUUAUUAAUAGAUAUCCUGAGAAGGGGUUCAUGGACCCCGCUAGACUGUCAAAGAGGCCGUGACCCAGAAAAAUGUAAGAACUCCGCAUAGCAGAGUGUAGACCACUCCUGCAGAAAAAAAGGAAGGCUGGAAGUCCCCAUGUAAAAGGGACUGGCCGGGGGAGCCCCCGGAGAAGCGUGAGGCCUCACUGAACUUGGGAGGCAGAAUCUCAGAAGCAUCAGCAGUAACUUCGGUUCUGGAAUCUGCAGCAGAAACAGAAGCUGCAGGAGGAAAAGGAAACGUCCCCAGCAGGCAGGCUCUGCAGGCCAGGAAAUUCCCCAAUGAGAGGCAGGAGGGACCCCUCACAGGACACGGGGCUCAAUCAAAGGGAAACAGACAUACAGAGGCUUGCACCAGCCUGGACUGCCUGGAUUCCAAUCCUGCCUCUACUGCUUUCUAGCUGUGUAGACUUGGACAAGUUGUUUGAUUUCUGUAUGCCUUGGUUCCCUUACCUAAAACAGAAAUAAUAAUAGUAUCUACAUAACAAGUUCUCACAAAAUCAAGUAAGUGGGUAAAUACAAAGUCUUCAGCACACAAUAAAUUGAACUGGAUCAUUGUUUGCUAUAAAUUAUUCUGAGUAGGAAGGAAAGGACCUUAAAUAAGACCUUCACAUUUUAAAGUUUAUCAAGAAGAUAGAAACAUCUCAAAUGCUACUCUUUGAGGAAGGAGACAUACACAUAAAUGGGUUUUCACUUGAGAUACAGUAAAUGGCAAGUGUCAAAAGUAGCAUUUUGUGGGAGAUUUCUCCUAAUUCAAGGAUCAGGCAUCAUGACCACCACCCAUUUUUAAAAAUAAAGUUUUAUUGGAACACAGCCAUGCCCAUUUGUCAGUAUUGUCUACGGCUGUUUUCACACUACAACAGCUGAGUUGAGUUGCAAUGGAGACCACAUGGCUGGAAAAGUUGAAAGUGUUUAUUUUCUGCCCUUUACAGCUGUAAUCCACACACACACA